AAGGCGCUUGAGAGAACUCUGCUGAAGGAACUAGGCAAAAUGGUACCGUAACUUCGGGAGAAGGUACGCUGUUGUUGGUGAUGGAACUCGCUUCCUGAGCUGACGACAGCCGCAGAAACCAGGCCGCUGCAACUGUUUAUUAAAAACAUAGCACUCUGCAAACACGAAAGUGGACGUAUAGGGUGUGAUGCCUGCCCGGUGCUGGAAGGUUAAUUGAUGGGGUUAGCGUAAGCGAAGCUCUUGAUCGAAGCCCCAGUAAACGGCGGCCGUAACUAUAACGGUCCUAAGGUAGCGAAAUUCCUUGUCGGGUAAGUUCCGACCUGCACGAAUGGCAUAAUGAUGGCGGCGCUGUCUCCAGCAGAGGCUCAGUGAAAUCGAAAUCGCUGUGAAGAUGCAGUGUACCCGCGGCUAGACGGAAAGACCCCGUGAACCUUUACUGCAGCUUGACACUGAACUUUGACCUUACUUGUGUAGGAUAGGUGGGAGGCUUUGAAGCUGGAACGCUAGUUCCAGUGGAGCCGUCCUUGAAAUACCACCCUGGUAAUGUUGAGGUUCUAACUCUGUCCCGUGAUCCGGGACGAGGACCGUGUCUGGUGGGUAGUUUGACUGGGGCGGUCUCCUCCUAAAGAGUAACGGAGGAGUACGAAGGUGCGCUCAGCGUGGUCGGAAAUCACGCGUAGAGUAUAAAGGCAAAAGCGCGCUUAACUGCGAGACCCACAAGUCGAGCAGGUACGAAAGUAGGUCUUAGUGAUCCGGUGGUUCUGUAUGGAAGGGCCAUCGCUCAACGGAUAAAAGGUACUCUGGGGAUAACAGGCUGAUACCGCCCAAGAGUUCAUAUCGACGGCGGUGUUUGGCACCUCGAUGUCGGCUCAUCUCAUCCUGGGGCUGAAGCAGGUCCCAAGGGUAUGGCUGUUCGCCAUUUAAAGAGGUACGCGAGCUGGGUUUAGAACGUCGUGAGACAGUUCGGUCCCUAUCUACCGUGGGCGCUGGAAAUUUGAGAGGAUCUGCUCCUAGUACGAGAGGACCAGAGUGGACGAACCUCUGGUGUACCGGUUGUGACGCCAGUCGCAUCGCCGGGUAGCUAUGUUCGGAAGGGAUAACCGCUGAAAGCAUCUAAGCGGGAAGCCUACCUCAAGAUAAGAUUUCCCUAGGACUUUAUGUCCUCUAAAGAGCCGUUCGAGACUAGGACGUUGAUAGGUUGGAUGUGGAAGCAUAGUGAUAUGUGAAGCUGACCAAUACUAAUUGCUCGUGAGGCUUGACUAU
rnacentral:rRNA from 1 species